rnacentral:hammerhead_ribozyme from 1 species
AUCCAGACGACGAGUCCCAAACAUGACGAAACGCACGUCAAACUGGAU